UUUGCCGGGCAAAACAAUUAGUCAAAUUUUGCUUGUUCUGAUCUCUCUCACAAAAAACACUCUCUCCGCAAACUAACUCUCGGCAAAUUAUCUCUCAGCCAAGUAGGGGCGUUAAGACCGGAGCUUUUUGUAGAUGGCGCAAGACGAUUGCAGAUGGGUAACGAAAACCUGAAAAAUAAUAGACCACCGAGGUACUAAAUGAGACUUUCUUUCACUUUCUUUUCUUUCGCUCUUUCUGGCUCCCGUGACCAGUUAAAGUAAGGAAGAAUCAGCCACGGGAUUCAUCAUCUCCGCUUUCAGUUCAUUCCAUUCCUCAAGCUCACCACCGUCUUUCUCCCCACAACCGCCACCACCACCACUGCCGGAAUGUUAUUUCUCUUUUCCCUAGCUACUCUCCUUCUACAAUCACCAACACCAGCACCAGCACCAGCUGUUCUUUCUCUUCUUCUUCUUCUUCCUAUUUUGGGAUUUCGAUUUCUGACAAAACCAUGAUUUCUGUUUCGUCUGGAAAAGCUAAGUCAAACCGAUCUUUGUAUAUUGCAGCUGGGGUGUUUGAGAAAUUUACUAAGAGACCAAUUAAAGCGGUUAUGUUUUCCCAGAGGGAGGCGAAAGCUUUGGAGGUAGAAAUGGUGUAUACCCAGCAUCUUUUGCUAGGACUUAUCGCAGAAGAUCGUUUUUCCGGUGGGUUUUUAGGUUCUGGAAUCACAAUUGAGAUGGGUCGCCAAAUCGUUAAGAGCAUUUGGCAUACCGAUAUUGAUGAUAAGGAGGAGAAUGGUAAGGGUAAUGGGAGUGGUCUUGGUCCUGAGGGGGCAGAGGUCUCGGCCACGGAUGUGCCAUUUUCGCCGAGCACUAAGCGGGUUUUUGAGGCUGUUGUGAAGUAUUCGAGGAUUAUGGGGUAUAAUUAUAUUGAGCCGAAACAUAUUGCCGUUGGGUUGUUCACUGUCGAUGAUGAAAGUGCUGGCCGUGUACUUAAGAGGUAGUACAUUUUGAAUUAGCAUAUUUUUAUCCAUGAAUGCUUUACUCACUCAGAAUUGCAAUUUUUUUAGUGCUUUAUAUUGGUCUUAUAUGGACUGUUGAAACUAUUGUUACAACUUGUGAUCGAAGACAAAACUAAGAAGGGAUGACAAAACAAGUCAACUGGGAGGUAAAAAGAAUCACCCAACUCUGACUGUACAUCCUGCCCCUGGGGCUUCCUUUGGCAUAUCUUCUGCCUGCUCUUCCCUAAGAUCACCUAAGAGCUGCAACACCGAUGGAAAUGCCCAUGAACCCAUGCUCCAGAACAAUUAUCACAGCACCCGAAUGCAUAUGCACAGGGUCCAGAGCUCACCUAUUGUCUGCAAUCUUACUGGUCUUCAGUAGCAGAAUAGUGCUUUUGGUCUUCAGCUGUAUCCUCAGAAUUACUACCGAACAAGAAACUUCAACUUGUUGGAGUGACAGCAAUGCUUAUGGCUUGCAAGUAUGAAGAAGUUUCUGUCCUUGUCGUUGAAGACCUCAUAUUGAUUUCUGACAGGGCUUACUCCAGAAAUGACGUGCUUGAGAUGAAGAGCUUAAUGAUCAACACCUUGCAGUUUAAUCUUUCAGUGCCUACUCAUUGUGUCUUCAUGAGGUGUUUUCUUAAAGCUGCUCAAUCUGAUAAAAAGUAGCAGCAAUCUUUAUUGCACAAUGCUCUGUCAAUGGGUUCAAGAAGUGGACUAAGACAUGCGAGAGGCACACAAACUACACUGAAGAUCAGCUUUUGUGGAACCAUCUGAAGAUUGAUGGGUAUUUGUGGUUAUAACUGAAGGCUCUAAUUUCAUUGGAAAGUUUGGAAGCUAUUGCAAGUUCUUUCUACUUGUUAGGGAAGAGAAUCUUUUAGUUUGUGCACAUGAGGAUCUUUUAGUUUGUCCACAAGAGAAUCUUUCAAGUUUGUACUUGUUAGGGAUUUGCUAUGUUAGUACUUAUUACUGACUUUUAGUUCAACAAAUUAUAUUUGAGCAAUGACUUUUGCUUUUAGAUUGCCAUAUGCAUUCUGUUCUUUGAGAUAAUUUUACAAGUCCUUUGGUUUCUGAUUGA